CGUAGGGGGCGAGCGUUGUCCGGAUUUAUUGGGCGUAAAGCGCGCGUAGGCGGUAGCUCUUGUCGGCCGUGAAAUCUCCAGGCUUAACCUGGAGGGGUCGGGCGAAACGGAGCUGCUCGAGGCGGGUAGAGGGCAGUGGAAUUCCGGGUGUAGUGGUGGAAUGCGUAGAGAUCCGGAGGAACACCAGUGGCGAAGGCGGCUGCCUGGGCCUGGCCUGACGCUGAGGCGCGAAAGCGUGGGGAGCGAUCCGGAUUAGAUACCCGGGUAGUCCACGCCGUAAACGAUGGGCACUAGAUGCUGGGGGUAUCGACCCCUCCAGUGUCGCAGCUAACGCGAUAAGUGCCCCGCCUGGGGAGUACGGCCGCAAGGCUA
rnacentral:rRNA from 1 species